rnacentral:rRNA from 1 species
UACGUAGGGUGCAAGCGUUGCCCGGAUUUAUUGGGCGUAAAGGGCGCGUAGGCGGCUCUGCACGUUCGUUGUGAAAUCGCCCGGCUCAACUGGGCGGGGUCAGCGGAUACGGCAGAGCUUGAGCAAGCUAGGGGGCAAUGGAAUUCCCGGUGUAGUGGUGGAAUGCGUAGAUAUCGGGAGGAACACCAGUGGCGAAGGCGGAUCUCUGGGCCAUUACUGACGCUGAGGAGCGAAAGCGUGGGGAGCGAACAGG